rnacentral:rRNA from 1 species
CUGGCGGCACGCUUAACACAUGCAAGUCGAACGGGAUCUUCGGAUCUAGUGGCAGACGGGUGAGUAACGCGUGGGAACCUGCCCAGUAGUAGAGAAUAACUUGAGGAAACUUAAGCUAAUACUUUAUACACCCUCCGGGGAAAAGCUUUAUGCGCUAUUGGAUGGGCCCGCGUUAGAUUAGUUUGUUGGUGAGGUAAUGGCUCACCAAGACUACGAUCUAUAGCUGGUCUGAGAGGAUGAUCAGCCACACUGGGACUGAGACACGGCCCAGACUCCUACGGGAGGCAGCAGUGGGGAAUAUUGGACAAUGGGGGCAACCCUGAUCCAGCGAUGCCGCGUGAGUGAUGAAGGCCUUCGGGUUGUAAAACUCUUUCGUCAGGGAAGAUAAUGACGGUACCUGAAGAAGAAGAUCCGGCUAACUCCGUGCCAGCAGCCGCGGUAAUACGGAGGGAUCUAGCGUUAUUCGGAAUUACUGGGCGUAAAGCGAGCGUAGGCGGAUUUGUAAGUUGGAGGUGAAAUCCCAGAGCUUAACUCUGGAACUGCCUUCAAAACUACAUUUCUUGAGUUUGGUAGAGGAGAGUGGAAUUCCUAGUGUAGAGGUGAAAUUCGUAGAUAUUAGGAGGAACACCAGUGGCGAAGGCGACUCUCUGGGCCAAUACUGACGCUGAGGUUCGAAAGCAUGGGUAGCGAACAGGAUUAGAUACCCUGGUAGUCCAUGCAGUAAACGAUGAGUGCUAGAUGUUGGGAAUUUAAAUUUCCAGUAUCGCAGUUAACGCGUUAAGCACUCCGCCU